rnacentral:rRNA from 1 species
ACGAACGCUGGCGGCAUGCCUAACACAUGCACGUCGCGCGCGACCUUCGGGUCUAGUGGCGCACGGGUGCGUAACGCGUGGGAACCUGCCCUUAGGUUCGGAAUAACUCCCCGAAAGGGGUGCUAAUACCGGAUAAUGUCUUCGGACCAAAGAUUUAUCGCCUUUGGAUGGGCCCGCGUUGGAUUAGCUAGUUGGUAGGGUAAAAGCCUACCAAGGCGACGAUCCAUAGCUGGUCUGAGAGGAUGAUCAGCCACACUGGGACUGAGACACGGCCCAGACUCCUACGGGAGGCAGCAGUGGGGAAUAUUGGACAAUGGGCGAAAGCCUGAUCCAGCAAUGCCGCGUGAGUGAUGAAGGCCUUAGGGUUGUAAAGCUCUUUUACCCGGGAUGAUAAUGACAGUACCGGGAGAAUAAGCUCCGGCUAACUCCGUG